rnacentral:lncRNA from 1 species
AAUCAUAGGGUGUAUCAUGAGCACUGAAAUGAGGACUUUACGUGAUGGAUCAGCCUAGGAAGGCCAGACCUAGGAAUGGUCGGAGCAGUUCUGACCUUAGGAUGCAGUUUGAGCGGUUGCAUGGCAUGGACUCGCCGAGUUCGAUGAACAGACUCGGCGAGUAGCUUGAAGAUUAACUGGGACUCGUCGAGUUGUUCUUCAGACUCGGCGAGUUGAGUCGGGGUGGCCCCGCGAUUCUUCCAGGAGUAACUCGUCGGGUCAAGGAGGAUACUCGACGAGUAGAAAGGGAAUCUCAGAGAAUUGGAGGACGUCUAGACUCGCCGAGUCGCCAUGGCACUCGCCGAGUCCGGUCGAGUUGACCGUUGACCGUUGACCGUUGACCAGAGUUGACCUAAGUCUGACUUCUUAGGGAUAGUCACACUUAGAAGAUAUAAGUGUUAAUGAGAGAUAUGUGAUGUUAUAGGGAGGUUGUAGCUCGACGGAUUGUGCACGAGUGAUUUCAGGAUUUGCUAGCUUUCAGCAUUCACGAGGUGAGUCUUCUCACUAUACUGUACCCGGAAGGGUUUGACUGUGUGACCGGAAGGUCAGAUAUGAUAUGUGAUAUGUAUGCUAUAUGUGGUAAGUUAUUUGUUAUAUGUGCUAUGUAUGUUAUGUGGGCCGGAAGGCAAUAUGUUAUGGGCCGGAAGGCGAUUAUGUUAUGGGCCGGAAGGCGUUGUGUUGAGGACCGGAAGGUCAGGGCCUGGAAAGGCGUAUGUGCGUAAGUUGUAUAUUGGGGAACUCACUAAGCAUUUAUGCUUACAGUUGUUAUGUAUGUGUUUCAGGUACUAGCGAGGACCGUGGGAAGGCGCCGGCGUGAUCGAUACACACUGAAGAAUGUUUUUAUGAUCUUGGGAUUUAGACAGUUUGUAUUUGACAUGACACUUAAAUUAUUUAUGCCUUGUUUUGAAUGAAAAUACUCUAUUUUUAAAAUGAAAAAUUUGUUUGAAAAUUUGCGUUGUUACAAUUGGUAUCAGAGCCUUGGUUUGAGGGAUUCGGGUGCACCUUCGGGAGUAACUGAACUCAAACCGAGGAUUUGAGGAAAACUUUUUAAAUAAAGGCAUAAACUUUUGUAAAUGGUUUUGUGGUAAGCAAGAAAGAAGCAGUGUGUACGAUCAGUCAGCGCCCGAACGGUAAAGAUCCCCAAAAUACCUUACAAUAUUAUAUGAUAUGAAUUGUUAUGCAUGCUAGAAGACUAGGUAUUCAUGAUAGGACUAGAGUGGCCUGAUUUGUGAUGCCUUAGUCUAGGGAAGUUUGCCGAUAUGAGAUGCUUUGCUAGUGUGCGGGUAGAUAGUGCAUAACAGAAGUAGAGUACUCACUAUCCGGGGUUUGGGGAGGAAGACUUGGGAUGAAUGCUGAUGCGGUGUGGUCGGUAGUAUUGGGCCCGUACUACCGAAGACACCGGGUCAGUGGGAGACCCAAGUAAGAAUCCCUGGAUAUCGGAGACUGAGUAGGGUUGCGUUAUCGAGUGCGAUUAUACUCGAUGGAGUCUCUGAUAGUUUUAUGUUGUAUUUCAGAGACAUCAUGGUUAGACCACGCCACGGAGCGAGUUCGAGCGGUGUGAGUGACGAGGAGAUUCGUCAGAUGAUUCACGAGGAGGUAGCUGCGGCGAUCCGGGCUGAGAUCCCGGAGAUGUUUGGGUCUAUUAAGACCACCCUGAUGGAGACGUUUGAGGAGCGGUACGCCGCAUUGACUGAAGCUGCAGCCGCUGCAGCUACCGCAGCUGUGGCCGCUGCCAGGCCACAGGGGGGUGACUCGUUGCUGUUCCGGGAGUUCAGCAACACGAAGCCACCUGAGUUCGAUGGGACGCAGGAUCCGAUUGCUGCGAUGAGGUGGAUCGCGGAUAUAGAGGGGUGCUUCUACACUUGUUCAUGCCCGGAGCACCUGAGGGUACGGUUCGCUUUGAACCAGCUCCGUCUGGGAGCGAAGGACUGGUGGAAGUUCGUGACGGCGAACUUCACUUUGGCAGAGAUUACAGCAGUGACAUGGGAGGGGUUUACUGCUAUGUUCAGGGACGAGUACGUUCCCCCGGUGGAGAGGGAACGAUUGGUUCAGGAGUUCUUAACCCUCAAGCAGGGUACUGAUUCGGUUGCGGUGAUCACGCGGAAGUUUCAUGAGAGGGCGAUGUUCUGCCCCGAGCUGGUGUCCACAGAGCAGGCUCGGAUGAGCCGGUACUUGGGUGUUUUGAGGAGGGAUAUCCGGGAGUUUGUGUCAAACUCCACCUAUCAUACCUUUGCUGAGCUUCAGGCGAAUGCCAGGAAGCGCGAGAUCGAGUUGGAGACCCAGGCCAGGGAGGAGGCCGAGUCUCAGCGGGUGGACCGGCGGCCGGCUCAGUCUCAGCCGGCAGCCAAGCGGACUAAGUCCGCCGAUUCGAGGACGGGAGGUUCGAAGGGCCGCACUUGCGGAAAGUGCGGCAAGGGUCACGAUGGGGCGUGUCGAGCUGGUGCUUGCUACAAGUGUGGCAAGGAGGGGCACAUUGCUAGGGAGUGCCCCAAGGGGUUUAUGGUUUGCUUUCAUUGCAACCAGACAGGCCAUCGGAAGGCCGAGUGCCCUCAGCUUCUUCAGGGAUCUGCACCUACUGCCAGAGCUACUGCGACUCGACCGGUGAAGGCCGAGGCCCCGAGGGCUCGUGGGAGAGCCUUUCAGCUGACUGCGGAGGAGGUCCGCGCUGCGCCCGAUGUUGUGGCAGGUAUGCUGUAAUUCAUGUAUUUAUUUUAAAGUCGAGAUGUUAUGCUUAUGUUAUUAUAUGCGUAGGUACUUUCCUUGUGAACUCUGUGCCUGCUUUAGUGUUAUUUGACUCGGGUGCGAGUAGGUCCUUUGUAUCUUUAGCCUUUAGUCAGCAUAUCAGCGUUAGUCGUGAGUCGUUGAGUCGGCCUCUGAGAGUUUCUAUAGCUGACGAGAGAGUGAUUUGUGCCACGGAGGUUCUCCGGGGAUGUGUGUUAGAGAUUUUCGGGGUUGAGUUUCCGAUUGAUCUGAUUCCUAUUGCGAUGGGUGAUGUCUGUGUCAUUGUGGGCAUGGACUGGUUGAGCCGAUUCGGCGCCGUCAUCGACUGUGAGCGUCAGCUGGUGACUAUACGAGACCCUAGUGGGGGAGUUCUUUCGGUGUACGGCGAGGGUACCCGUUCGGGAUCAGCUUUUUGUUCGGCCGCUAGGGCGAGGCAGUGUCUACAGCAGGGCUGUAAGGGUUUUGUGGCGUAUGUGAUGGAUACGCGGGAGGUUUCCGAGAGACCGAGAUCAGUUGAGGAGGUCCCAGUGGUGCGUGAGUUUCCAGAUGUUUUCCCCGAGGAGCUGCCGGGAGUACCUCCUGUGAGGCAAGUAGAGUUUGGUAUCGAUCUGGUUCCGGGGGCCGCGCCUAUUGCUAAGGUGCCUUAUCGUCUUGCACCUCCAGAGAUGCAAGAGUUGUCCUCGCAGCUCCAGGAGUUGCUGGGGAAGGGAUUCAUUCGGCCGAGCAGCUCGCCGUGGGGAGCACCUAUUCUGUUCGUCAAGAAGAAGGAUGGUUCACACCGGAUGUGCAUUGAUUACCGGGAGUUGAACAAGUUGACGGUCAAGAACCGUUACCCGUUACCGAGGAUCGAUGAUUUAUUCGAUCAGUUGCAGGGAGCAUCUUGGUUUUCCAAGAUCGAUCUGAGGUCAGGGUACCAUCAGGUGAGAGUGCGGGAUGAGGACGUCCAGAAGACAGCGUUUAGGACGCGAUAUGGGCAUUAUGAGUUUGUGGUGAUGCCUUUCGGGCUCACCAAUGCCCCGGCUGUGUUCAUGGAUCUCAUGAACAGGGUAUGCAGGCCGAUGUUGGAUCGGUCAGUGAUUGUAUUUAUCGACGACAUUCUGGUGUAUUCGAGAUCUAGAGAGCAGCAUGAGGAGCAUUUGAGGGAGGUCCUUGAGGUAUUGAGGUCGGAGAAGCUUUAUGCAAAGUUCUCCAAAUGUGACUUCUGGUUGCGGGAGGUCCAAUUUCUAGGACAUGUUGUUAAUCAGGAAGGGAUAUUGGUCGAUCCGGCCAAGGUUGAGGCGGUGAUGAGUUGGGAGGUGCCGAAGUCACCCUCUGAGAUCAGGAGCUUCCUUGGGUUGGCAGGGUAUUAUCGGAGAUUCAUUAAGGAUUUCUCCAAGAUCGCAGUGCCGCUCACCAGAUUGACCCGGAAGGGUGUUGCAUUCUCAUGGGGGCCCGAGCAGCAGACCUCCUUUGAGACACUUCGCCAGAGGUUGUGCGAAGCCCCGGUAUUAGCUCUCCCGGAAGGGAUGGAAGAUUUUGUAGUAUAUUGCGACGCAUCGAUUUCGGGACUGGGUGCAGUGUUGAUGCAGAGGGGUCAUGUGAUAGCUUAUGCGUCGAGGCAGCUGAAGCCUCAUGAGGCGAGAUAUCCCACGCAUGAUUUAGAGUUGGGGGCAGUAGUGUUCGCUCUCAAGAUUUGGCGUCACUACUUGUAUGGGGUUCGAUGUACGAUAUACACGGACCAUAAGAGUUUGAAGUAUUUGAUGGAUCAGCCCAACCUAAAUAUGCGUCAGAGGAGGUGGUUGGAUGUGGUCAAGGAUUAUGAUUGUGAGAUCCUGUACCACCCAGGCAAGGCUAAUGUGGUAGCCGACGCAUUGAGCCGCAGGGCGGAGAGCACUCCAUUGCGAGAUGUAUGCUUGAGACUGACUGUGAUGACUCCAGUAUUGGAUGCUAUUCGUGGGGCACAGGCCGAGGCUGUGCGACCAGAGAUGCAGAAGAAAGAGCGGGUCGUUGGGUUGGUUUCAGAGUUCGUUAAGGAUGGACGAGGGCUUAUGACGUUUCAGGGUCGGAUUUGGGUACCGUUCGUGGGCGGUACGCGUAUUACUUUGAUGGAAGAGGCUCAUAGAUCGAAAUUCUCGAUCCAUCCCGGUGCUACGAAGAUGUAUUUGGACUUGAGGAAAGAGUAUUGGUGGCCCUGUAUGAAGAGGGACGUCGCAUGGUUCGUUGAGAGGUGCUUGACCUGUCGUAGGGUUAAGGCCGAGCACCAGAGACCGCAUGGCAAGUUACAGCCAUUGGAGAUCCCCGAGUGGAAGUGGGAACAGAUCACUAUGGAUUUCAUCACCAAAUUGCCGAGGACUGCCAGGGGAGUUGAUGCAAUUUGGGUGAUUGUGGAUAGGUUGACGAAGAGUGCACACUUCCUUGCCAUCAGUGAGAGUUCUUCAGCGGAGAAGUUGGCGGAGAUAUAUGUGAGAGAAGUGGUAUCUCGGCAUGGAGUGCCGAUCUCGAUUGUUUCAGACCGUGAUGUGCGCUUCACUUCCAGGUUCUGGAAGAAAUUCCAUGAGGAGCUGGGUACUAAAUUGCAUUUUAGUACCGCAUACCAUCCCCAGACAGACGGUCAGAGCGAGCGGACGAUUCAGACGCUGGAGGACAUGCUUCGAGCGUGUGUGUUAGACUUCGGGGGUAGCUGGGAUGCAUAUUUACCCUUAGCAGAGUUUUCCUACAACAACAGCCAUCAUUCGAGCAUUGGUAUGCCACCUUUUGAGCUGUUGUAUGGUAGGAGGUGUCGGACCCCCAUUUGCUGGGGAGAGGUGGGACAGAGAGUGAUGGGCAGCACAGAGAUCGUGCUUCAGACGACAGAGCAGAUUCAGCAAGUUAGACAGAGGUUAUUGACCGCCCAGAGCCGACAGAAGAGUUAUGCAGACAGGCGCCGAUCCGAGCUUGAAUUUCAGGUCGGCGACUUCGUUCUCCUGAAGGUCUCUCCUUGGAAAGGAGUGAUUCGAUUCAGGAAGAGGGGCAAGUUGGGGCCCCGGUAUAUUGGGCCAUUUCGUGUGAUUGCAAGGAUAGGCCGGGUAGCCUAUCGGUUGGAGUUGCCAGCGGAGUUGGGACAGAUCCACGACACUUUUCAUGUGUCGCAAUUGAGGAAGUGCAUAGCCGAUGAGUCGGCAGUGGUUCCAUUGGAGGAUAUUCAGGUGGAUGCGAGCCUGAAUUAUGCUGAGAGACCAGUGGCCAUCAGGGAUCGGAAGAUCAAGGUUCUGAGGAACAAGGAGGUACCUCUGGUGUUGGUUCAGUCGCAACACCGUAAGGGAUCAGAAAUGACUUGGGAGCCGGAAUGUGAGGUGCGGGAGCAGCAUCCGGAACUAUUUGCAGAGUGAGACUUCGAGGGCGAAGUCUAAUCCUAGUGGGGGAGAGUUGUAACAGCCCGAAAUCUCAGGUAUUGUUAAAUUAUGUUUUUGGGGUGAUUUAAGAGGGGACUCGGCGAGUUGGAGCCUAGACUCGCCGAGUAGGAUCGCAGACUUGGUCGCGGGUUCGCGACUGGACUCGACGAGUCCAGAUAUGGACUCGGCGAGUCUACGCUGUUUAGCGAAAACCCUAACCGUUCAGGUUUGGGACGUAUAAAAAGGACUCAUUGGCCGUCAUUGUUCAUUUUAGCCUUCUGAGAAGAACCCUAAAUCGAUUGUGUGCAUCUGGAGCAAGGAUUAUAGGCCAUUGUUGAUUAUAGAAGAGUUGUUGUGCAAGGAAGAGAAGGGAUUGGCUAAAGGAACAGCAAGGGAGUCACAUUCUGAGGAUUGGGGACACAGAGAAUACAUCAUCCAGGUAAGAAUUCGAGUAUAAUCUGCUAUGUUGAUGUGAUUAUGGAAUUAGGGUUUAUGGAAGCCUUUUGUGAAUAGAUUGAUUGUUACCCUGGUCCCCUAAUCGAUUGUAACCCUGUAUUGGGACCUUUGGAGGUCCAGAAUGUCCCAUGUCUGUGCAUUUCAGGAAUUGAUGAAGGUUUUGGAUUGGAAUCCUUAUGCCUUAGAUCAAAAUGUAAAUUAUGAAUCAUAUGGUGUAUCAUGAGCACUGAAAUGAGGACUUUACGNUCAGCCUUUACGUGAUGGAUCAGCCUAGGAAGGCCAGACCUAGGAAUGGUCGGAGCAGUUCUGACCUUAUGAUGCAGUUUGAGCAGUUGCAUGGCAUGGACUCGCCGAGUUCGACGAACAGACUCGGCUGAGUUUGCUGAGGCUGUGGUGGAGGGAGAGGGUUCUUGGUGGAACGGAAGUGAUUGUUUUGAAAGUUGCGGUUGAACAGGUGGUAGAUUGUAUUGUUGGCUUUAUCGAAAUGAAGGUGGUAAGCGAUUGAAUUUCUGACUGAUAAGAGCAAUGGCAUUCUGGAACUCUUCUUCAUCGUCAUAUUCUGAGUCAGUUUCAUAUGACUACGGUGGUGAGUCAUACGAAGUUGGAUAGGUUUGAGUGUGAGGUGAUUGUGCUACUAAUGCAAGUGGACCUCCGAAGUCUGAGCAGUCCUUGAGUACGGUGGACUCUUGAGCUUGCAACUCUCCAUAAAGCUUAUAGAGAGAUAAUGAGUGAAUCCUCCUGUCACCUUGUACAAUCAUUUUGGCUAUUGUCCAAUGUCUUCCUAAGCCAUUAAGGAACUGUAGAUUUGUUUCAUGAUUGUCGCGGAUGGUACCCGUAUUGGACAGUUUUGUAACGAUCAAGUUGAAUC